GUCCCCAUAGCUCAGUUGGAUAGAGCGUCAGUUUGCGGAACUGAAGGUCGGGUGUUCGAGUCACCCUGGGGACG
rnacentral:tRNA from 1 species